rnacentral:rRNA from 1 species
AGGGNUGUUAGGCNGUUUCUUAAGUCUGAAGUGAAAGCCCCCGGCUCANCCGGGGAGGGUCAUUGNAAACUGGGAAACUUGAGUGCAGAAGAGGAGAGUGGAAUUCCACGUGUAGCGGUGAAAUGCGUACAGAUGUGGAGGAACACCAGUGGCGAAGGCGACUCUCUGGUCUGUAACUGACGCUGAGGAGCGAAAGCGUGGGGAGCGAACAGGAUUAGAUACCCUGGUAGUCCACGCCGUAAACGAUGAGUGCUAACUGUUAGGGGGUUUCCGCCCCUUAAUGCUGCAGCUAAGGCAUUAAGCACUCCGCCUGGGGANUACNGUCCCANGANU